rnacentral:rRNA from 1 species
ACUCCUACGGGAGGCAGCAGUGGGGAAUAUUGCACAAUGGGCGCAAGCCUGAUGCAGCCAUGCCGCGUGUGUGAAGAAGGCCUUCGGGUUGUAAAGCACUUUCAGUCGUGAGGAAGGUAGUGUAGUUAAUAGCUGCAUUAUUUGACGUUAGCGACAGAAGAAGCACCGGCUAACUCCGUGCCAGCAGCCGCGGUAAUACGGAGGGUGCGAGCGUUAAUCGGAAUUACUGGGCGUAAAGCGCAUGCAGGUGGUUUGUUAAGUCAGAUGUGAAAGCCCGGGGCUCAACCUCGGAAUAGCAUUUGAAACUGGCAGACUAGAGUACUGGUAGAGGGGGUUAGAAUUUCAGGUGUAGCGGUGAAAUGCGUAGAGAUCUGAAGGAAUACCGGUGGCGAAGGCGGCCCCUGGACAGAUACUGACACUCAGAUGCGAAAGCGUGGGAGCAAACAGGAUUAGAUACCCCUGGUAGACUGUCA